rnacentral:rRNA from 1 species
AACGAGACCUUAACCUGCUAACUAGCCCGUAUUGCUUUGGCAGUACGCUGGCUUCUUAGAGGGACUAUCGGCUCAAGCCGAUGGAAGUUUGAGGCAAUAACAGGUCUGUGAUGCCCUUAGAUGUUCUGGGCCGCACGCGCGCUACACUGACGGAGCCAGCGAGUACUCCCUUGGCCGAAAGGCCUGGGUAAUCUUGUGAAACUC